rnacentral:rRNA from 1 species
CACAUGCAAGUCGAGCGGUAACAUUUCUAGCUUGCUAGAAGAUGACGAGCGGCGGACGGGUGAGUAACGCGUAGAAAUCUACCUAGUAGUGGGGAUAGCCCAGAGAAAUUUGGAUUAAUACCGCAUACGCCCUACGGGGAAAGCGGGGGAUCUUCGGACCUCGUGCUAUUAGAUGAGUCUGCGUCGGAUUAGCUUGUUGGUGAGGUAAUGGCUCACCAAGGCGACGAUCCGUAGCUGGUCUGAGAGGAUGACCAGCCACACUGGAACUGAGACACGGUCCAGACUCCUACGGGAGGCAGCAGUGGGGAAUAUUGCACAAUGGGCGCAAGCCUGAUGCAGCCAUGCCGCGUGUGUGAAGAAGGCCUUAGGGUUGUAAAGCACUUUCAGCAGUGAGGAAAGGGGUGUCGUUAAUAGCGCCAUCCUGUGACGUUAACUGCAGAAGAAGGACCGGCUAACUCCGUG